rnacentral:rRNA from 1 species
GAUGAACGCUGGCGGCGUGCCUAAUACAUGCAAGUCGAGCGAACGGACGAGAAGCUUGCUUCUCUGAUGUUAGCGGCGGACGGCUGAGUAACACGUGGAUAACCUACCUAUAAGACUGGGAUAACUUCGGGAAACCGGAGCUAAUACCGGAUAAUAUUUUGAACCGCAUGGUUCAAAAGUGAAAGACGGUCUUGCUGUCACUUAUAGAUGGAUCCGCGCUGCAUUAGCUAGUUGGUAAGGUAACGGCUUACCAAGGCAACGAUGCAUAGCCGACCUGAGAGGGUGAUCGGCCACACUGGAACUGAGACACGGUCCAGACUCCUACGGGAGGCAGCAGUAGGGAAUCUUCCGCAAUGGGCGAAAGCCUGACGUAGCAACGCCGCGUGAGUGAUGAAGGUCUUCGGAUCGUAAAACUCUGUUAUUAGGGAAGAACAUAUGUGUAAGUAACUGUGCACAUCUUGACGGUACCUAAUCAGAAAGCCACGGCUAACUACGUG